CCUGCUCUGUGUCUCCAAGAUGUGCCCAAGCACCCCAGCCUUGGCUUCUGCAGAUCAAAUGAAGAUGUUAAAGGAGAGCAGACCUGGCACAGAUCUAACCACUAACCACUAACAACAAUACAAGUACCUUGCACUUAAAUUAUGCACUUUCCAUCAGAAGAUUUCAAGGGCCUUUGCUGAACUGGAUAAGUAUAAUUAUUAAAGCUGGGAACUCCACUACAGUGGGGAAUUAAAUAUUUGAGGUCCGUCUGAGGA